rnacentral:lncRNA from 1 species
GGUUUAAACACUCGGUUCACUGCAGUAAACACUCAGGUCACUGUAAUAGCAGUAAACACUUGGGUCACUGCAGUAAAAACUCGGGUCAUUGUGAUAGCAGUAAACACUCGGGUCGUUGCAGUAAAAACUUGGGUCUCUAUAAUAGCAAUAAACACUAGGGUCACUGCAGUAAAAACCCGGGUCACUGUGAUAGCAGUAAACACUCGGGUCGUUGCAGUAAAAACUUGGGUCUCUAUAAUAGCAAUAAACACUAGGGUCACUGCAGUAAAAACCCGGGUCACUGUGAUAGCAGUAAACACUCGGGUCACUGCAGUAAAAACUUGGGUCUCUUUAACAGCAGUAAACACUAGGGUCACUGCAGUAAACACUCGGGUCGUUGCAGUAAAAACUCGGGUCACUGUAAUAGCAUUAAACACUGGGGUCACUGCAUUAAACACUGGGGUCACUGCAUUAAACACUCGGGUCACUGUAAUAGCAGUAAACACUAGGGUCACUGCAGUAAACACUCGGGUCGUUGCAGUAAAAACUCGGGUCACUGUAAUAGCAGUAAACACUCGCGUAACUGCAGUAAACACUCAGGUCACUGCAUUAAACACUGGGGUCACUGCAUUAAACACUCGGGUCACUGUAAUAGCAGUAAACACUGGGGUCACUGCAUUAAACACUGGGGUCACUGCAUUAAACACUGGGGUCACUGUAAUAGCAGUAAACACUGGGGUCACUGCAGUAAACACUCGGGUCGUUGCAGUAAAAACUCGGGUCACUGUACUAGUAGUAAACACUGGGGUCACUGCAUUAAACACUCGGGUCACUGCAUUAAACACUCGGGUCACUGUAAUGGCAGUAAACACUGGGGUCACUGCAGUAAACACUCGGGUCGUUGCAGUAAAAACUCGGGUCACUGUACUAGUAGUAAACAGUGGGGUCACUGCAUUAAACACUCGGGUCACUAAUAGCCGUAAUCACUUCCUGUCGAUCAGUUUCCUUCCUGCUGUGACUCAGUGA